UACGAAGGGUGCAAGCGUUACUCGGAAUCAUUGGGCGUAAAGGGCGCGUAGGCGGUUUAGUAAGUUUGGUGUGAAAUCCCGGGGCUUAACUCCGGAAGUGCAUUGAAUACUGCUAGACUAGAGUGUAGGAGGGGAUGGUGGAAUUCCUGGUGUAGAGGUGAAAUUCGUAGAUAUCAGGAGGAACAACAGUGGCGAAGGCGGCCAUCUGGACUACAACUGACGCUGAGGCGCGAAAGCGUGGGGAGCAAACAGG
rnacentral:rRNA from 1 species